rnacentral:lncRNA from 1 species
UUAAAUACUUGGAUGCAGUUUGGUCUUUCUAUGCAGUUAUAGAAACAUCAUGUACUAAUAUAGCAGAUGUUCCACAGCAUGUUCCUAGUCAUUCUAAUGCAUGACUUUUUUGCAAAAGGAUUCAGAAAAGGAUUGUUGUUUGCCGCUUUGUUUUAUGGAAGUAACGUGUAGUUUUCUUUGGUCUGGGAUGGGUGAUAUCUAGCUGCUUAGUCCAGUAUUAUGUGAUGUCCGCUUGUCUUGAAACUCUCCGAUUUGACGUACUUUUCCUACCAGAGCUUUUUGAAGUUCUUGGGCACUUCUAUCUGGCUGACGAUUCAUUUUCCCUUGUCUAUCUAUGGACAACCCAGUAUAAUCCCACAUAGUGGGGUCUGGGGAGGGUAGUAUGUACGCAGACCUUACCUNNNNNNNNNNNNNNNNNNNNNNNNNNNNNNNNNNNNNNNNNNNNNNNNNNNNNNNAGGGUCUGAAGAGGGUAGUGUGUACGCAGACCUUACCCCUACCCUUGGGUAGAGAGGCUGUUUCCAAAUAGACCCCCGGCAUCCUUCCCUCCAAGAACUGCCCACCUUGCUCUUGGGGAGACUCGAACUCACAACCUCUCAGUUGAAAGUGGGUGUUGCUUACUAUCAGAGCAACCCCUCUUGUCCCCCUGUCCAUCUAUCUGAUGAUAAAAUAUCCAGCUUUAUAUUGUGCAUUAUCUUAUUUUAGAUUUCCUUAUAUUUCACCAAUCAUAACGAGUAUAACAAGAUUUUGCAUAAUCUGGCCCUGUUCCCCCUGGGCUAUAUGGUAAGCGUGAACCCAUGCUAUUGGCGAAAAUCCUGAAAACGUAUAUACAUAUUAUGUUUAAAAUGGCUAUAUAUCAUACUGCGAACCCAUGUACAUGGCGAAUUAAAUGGUGCAUUGAUUAGCUUAGGUCGUUGAAGACUUUGUCACUCAUACAAUUGCUGUUAAGAAUCUCUUUUUGAAAAUCAUCCAUCAUAUUUUACAUCUGUGACCCCUUCUUUAUCUCCUUUUCUUUUGUUUCUUUCUGAAAAAGCUAAACUCAUUUGUUACUUUCUUUAAAGAAGCUUAAUUCUCAUCAAAUAAUUUUGAUAGACGCGCAUACAUGUCUUUUUUACAUUUUUGUUUCCUAAUUUUGCUUCUAAUUUUACUUAAUCGAUUGAAUCAAAAGAAAAAUCAAACCAUAUCUAGGAGCGAUUAUCAGUUUGUUUAUGAACCAACAACUUAGUAGCCCAAACCGAUCUCAAAAUCGACCGAACUAACUGCAUUUACGCUCAUAUAUUUGUGGCUUGUAGCAUGUCUAUAUUAAAGAAAAGAUGAUGGCGCACCCAUGGAUCUGCCUCAGUCUGUCAAGGCUCUUAUAUCUCAUUGCUUUUGUUGAUCUUAUUACUUUAGUAUAAGUUCAUCUUACU